rnacentral:rRNA from 1 species
GACGAACGCUGGCGGCGUGCUUAACACAUGCAAGUCGAACGGAACGGCCCUGCUUUUUUGGGGUGCUCGAGUGGCGAACGGGUGAGUUACCCGUGAGUAACCUGCCCUUGCCCUUGGGAUACCUUCAUGAAACUGGUGCUAAUACCGGAUAGGAUCUCCUGCUGCUUGGUGGGGGUUGGAAAGUUUCGGUGGUUGGGGAUGGACUCGCGGCUUAUCAGCUUGUUCGUGGGGUAGUGUCUUACCAGGGCUUUGACGGGUAGCCUGCCUGAGAGGGUGACCGGCAACAUUGGGACUGAGAUACGGCACAGACUCCAACGGGAGGCAGCAGUGGGGAAUAGUGCACAAUGGGCGGAAGCCUGAUGCAGCAACGCCGCGUGCGGGAUGACGGCCUUCGGGUUGUAAACCGCUUUCGCCUGAGACGAAGCGUUAGUGACGGUAAUGGGUAAAGAAGCACCGGCUAACUACGUG